rfam:Scleropages formosus scaffold2973, whole genome shotgun sequence.
UGUCAUAAACCCGUAGAUCCGAUCUUGUGGUCAUUUUAGCCACGCAAGCUCGUUUCUAUGGGUGUCUGUCUC